GACGAACGCUGGCGGCGUGCUUAACACAUGCAAGUCGAACGGAAAGGCCCUGCUUUUGUGGGGUGCUCGAGUGGCGAACGGGUGAGUAACACGUGAGUAACCUGCCCUUGACUUUGGGAUAACUUCAGGAAACUGGGGCUAAUACCGGAUAGGAGCUCCUGCUGCAUGGUGGGGGUUGGAAAGUUUCGGCGGUUGGGGAUGGACUCGCGGCUUAUCAGCUUGUUGGUGGGGUAGUGGCUUACCAAGGCUUUGACGGGUAGCCGGCCUGAGAGGGUGACCGGCCACAUUGGGACUGAGAUACGGCCCAGACUCCUACGGGAGGCAGCAGUGGGGAAUAGUGCACAGUGGGCGGAAGCCUGAUGCAGCAACGCCGCGUGCGGGAUGACGGCCUUCGGGUGGUAAACCGCAUUCGCCUGUGACGAAGCGUGAGUGACGGUAAUGGGUGAAGAAGCACCGGCUAACUACGUG
rnacentral:rRNA from 1 species